GGCUCAGGAUGAACGCUGGCGGCGCGCCUAACACAUGCAAGUCGAACGGCACCCCUCUCCGGAGGGAAGCGAGUGGCGAACGGCUGAGUAACACGUGGAGAACCUGCCCCCUCCCCCGGGAUAGCCGCCCGAAAGGACGGGUAAUACCGGAUACCCCCGGGCGCCGCAUGGCGCCCGGGCUAAAGCCCCGACGGGAGGGGAUGGCUCCGCGGCCCAUCAGGUAGACGGCGGGGUGACGGCCCACCGUGCCGACAACGGGUAGCCGGGUUGAGAGACCGACCGGCCAGAUUGGGACUGAGACACGGCCCAGACUCCUACGGGAGGCAGCAGUGGGGAAUCUUGCGCAAUGGGGGGAACCCUGACGCAGCGACGCCGCGUGCGGGACGGAGGCCUUCGGGUCGUAAACCGCUUUCAGCAGGGAAGAGUCAAGACUGUACCUGCAGAAGAAGCCCCGGCUAACUACGUGCCAGCAGCCGCGGUAAUACGUAGGGGGCGAGCGUUAUCCGGAUUCAUUGGGCGUAAAGCGCGCGUAGGCGGCCCGGCAGGCCGGGGGUCGAAGCGGGGGGCUCAACCCCCCGAAGCCCCCGGAACCUCCGCGGCUUGGGUCCGGUAGGGGAGGGUGGAACACCCGGUGUAGCGGUGGAAUGCGCAGAUAUCGGGUGGAACACCGGUGGCGAAGGCGGCCCUCUGGGCCGAGACCGACGCUGAGGCGCGAAAGCUGGGGGAGCGAACAGGAUUAGAUACCCUGGUAGUCCCAGCCGUAAACGAUGGACGCUAGGUGUGGGGGGGACGAUCCCCCCGUGCCGCAGCCAACGCAUUAAGCGUCCCGCCUGGGGAGUACGGCCGCAAGGCUAAAACUCAAAGGAAUUGACGGGGGCCCGCACAAGCAGCGGAGCAUGUGGCUUAAUUCGAAGCAACGCGAAGAACCUUACCAGGGCUUGACAUAUGGGUGAAGCGGGGGAGACCCCGUGGCCGAGAGGAGCCCAUACAGGUGGUGCAUGGCUGUCGUCAGCUCGUGUCGUGAGAUGUUGGGUUAAGUCCCGCAACGAGCGCAACCCCCGCCGCGUGUUGCCAUCGGGUGAUGCCGGGAACCCACGCGGGACCGCCGCCGUCAAGGCGGAGGAGGGCGGGGACGACGUCAAGUCAUCAUGCCCCUUAUGCCCUGGGCUGCACACGUGCUACAAUGGCCGGUACAGAGGGAUGCCACCCCGCGAGGGGGAGCGGAUCCCGGAAAGCCGGCCCCAGUUCGGAUUGGGGGCUGCAACCCGCCCCCAUGAAGUCGGAGUUGCUAGUAAUCGCGGAUCAGCAUGCCGCGGUGAAUGCGUUCCCGGGCCUUGUACACACCGCCCGUCACACCACCCGAGUCGUCUGCACCCGAAGUCGCCGGCCCAACCUUUCGAGGGGGGAGGCGCCGAAGGUGUGG
rnacentral:rRNA from 1 species